AGAGAUAUGUAGCUCGAGCAGCUGAUAACAUCUGAUCUAAAAAUAGUGCAGGGCCUAACAAAUAGGCUGCGAACUAUUCUGAGUAGGCUACUUGCUCUGUCAGUCAACCACAAAAGAACUAUAAAUGUCCAAGAGCGUAUUAUCUCCCUAGAACCAACAAGAUGGCUAUGUUACCGAAAAACCUUCCCAGGCCAGAGGACUGUCAAGGAGCACAGGCUCUAUGGUAUGACCGGAAAAAAUAUGUCAUCAUUAAUUUCAUGGUGCAAAACCCCAAGGAUGUUGAGGUUGAUAUUCAGGAUACCUUUAUAGUUUUAAGUUGUAAAGAUGUUGAUGACAACAGCAUCUACAAUCACAUUUGUUUCUAUGACAGAGUCAUCAAAUUUGACUCCCAAGUGAAAGUCUAUGACCGCAGUAUCCACACCUUGAUUAGGAAGGCUAAAGAAAAUGUAGCAUGGCCUCGUCUUCAGAAAGAUGCCGAUCUCAAGCCACAUUGGAUGGCUGUAGACUUUGAUAACUGGAAAGACUGGGAGAAUGAAGAGGACGAGGGAAUGGCGGAGUACGAGCAAUAUUUUGACGUACGUGUAACUGCCAAAUGGGCUUACUCUAUGUCUAUGUUUGAAGGUUUGCACAUCAGUGUGGCUUUAAUGAAUGGUUUUCCAUUUUAGAUGAUUCAGGAUAUGGGGAACAAGAAAGGAGGGCCACCUGCGAUGGAUGAUCUUGAUGAUCUGAGUGAUUGAAUACUUUUCUGAAGAGAGCUUUCCUCUGCAUUGGACAGCUUGAUGUGCAUUGAAAAUCGCUGACAAAGAUUCAUCAAAGAUCAUGUCAUGUUGAUGGAUUUGUGUAUUUAUUGAUGUUUGCUGUGAAUGCGAUGUGAAUUAAUAUAUUGAAUUGCUAGGUAUUUUUCCUGGUACUGUUGUCUGUGUAAUUUGCAGUACUAUCUAUUGAAUGUUCUUUAUUAAAUCAACUGAAGUCUUGUUUCUACUUUUCUGAUAUGUAACCUCUUAAAUAUACUGAAUAAAAAAUAUAAACGCAA